rnacentral:tRNA from 1 species
UCCCUGCUGGUCAUGUGGUUAAGACUCCACACUUCCACUGCAGGGGGCACAGGUUCAAUUCCUGUUUGGGGAA